UACGUAGGGGGCGAGCGUUGUCCGGAAUCAUUGGGCGUAAAGCGCGUGUAGGCGGUUCGGUAAGUCUGCCGUGAAAGUCCAGGGCUCAACCCUGGGAUGCCGGUGGAUACUGCCGAACUAGAGUGCGGAAGAGGCGAGUGGAAUUCCCGGUGUAGCGGUGAAAUGCGCAGAUAUCGGGAGGAACACCAAUUGCGAAGGCAGCUCGCUGGGACGUUACUGACGCUGAGACGCGAAAGCGUGGGGAGCAAACAGG
rnacentral:rRNA from 1 species